AUUGAACGCUGGCGGCAGGCCUCACACAUGCAAGUCGAGCGGAGCGGCGGACGGGCGUGUAAUGCCUACUUAUCUGCCUGGUAGUGGGGGAUAACGUACGGAAACGGGCGCUAAUACCGCAUACUCUCCAUUGAGCCUAGGCCGGAUUAGCUAGUUGGUGGGGUAAAGGCCUACCAAGGCGACGAUCCGUAACUGGUCUGAGAGGCUGAUCAGUCACACUGGAACUGAGACACGGUCCAGACUCCUACGGGAGGCAGCAGUAGGGAAUAUUGCACAAUGGGCGCAAGCCUGAAGGAGCCAUGCCGCGUGUAUGAAGAAGGCCUUCGGGUUGUAAAGUACUUUCAGCAGGGAGGCGUUACCCGCAGAAGAAGCACCGGCUAACUCCGUGCCAGCAGCCGCGGUAAUAC
rnacentral:rRNA from 1 species